rnacentral:rRNA from 1 species
AAUACCGCAUAACCAUAGUUACCGCAUGGUAACUAUGUAAAAGGUGGCUAUGCUACCGCUUUUGGAUGGGCCCGCGGCGCAUUAGCUAGUUGGUGGGGUAAAGGCUUACCAAGGCAAUGAUGCGUAGCCGAACUGAGAGGUUGAUCGGCCACAUUGGGACUGAGACACGGCCCAAACUCCUACGGGAGGCAGCAGUAGGGAAUCUUCCACAAUGGGCGAAAGCCUGAUGGAGCAACGCCGCGUGGGUGAAGAAGGUCUUCGGAUCGUAAAACCCUGUUGUUAGAGAAGAAAGUGCGUGAGAGUAACUGUUCACGUUUCGACGGUAUCUAACCAGAAAGCCACGGCUAACUACGUGCCAGCAGCCGCGGUAAUACGUAGGUGGCAGGCGUUAUCCGGAUUUAUUGGGCGUAAAGGGAACGCAGGCGGUCUUUUAAGUCUGAUGUGAAAGCCUUCGGCUUAACCGGAGUAGUGCAUUGGAAACUGGGAGACUUGAGUGCAGAAGAGGAGAGUGGAACUCCAUGUGUAGCGGUGAAAUGCGUAGAUAUAUGGAAGAACACCAGUGGCGAAAGCGGCUCUCUGGUCUGUAACUGACGCUGAGGUUCGAAAGCGUGGGUAGCAAACAGGAUUAGAUACCCUGGUAGUCCACGCCGUAAACGAUGAAUGCUAAGUGUUGGAGGGUUUCCGCCCUUCAAUGCUGCAGC